rnacentral:rRNA from 1 species
CUCAGAUUGAACGCUGGCGGCAGGCUUAACACAUGCAAGUCGAGCGGGGGAAGGUAGCUUGCUACUGGACCUAGCGGCGGACGGGUGAGUAAUGCUUAGGAAUCUGCCUAUUAGUGGGGGACAACAUCUCGAAAGGGAUGCUAAUACCGCAUACGUCCUACGGGAGAAAGCAGGGGAUCUUCGGACCUUGCGCUAAUAGAUGAGCCUAAGUCGGAUUAGCUAGUUGGUGGGGUAAAGGCCUACCAAGGCGACGAUCUGUAGCGGGUCUGAGAGGAUGAUCCGCCACACUGGGACUGAGACACGGCCCAGACUCCUACGGGAGGCAGCAGUGGGGAAUAUUGGACAAUGGGGGGAACCCUGAUCCAGCCAUGCCGCGUGUGUGAAGAAGGCCUUAUGGUUGUAAAGCACUUUAAGCGAGGAGGAGGCUACUUUAGUUAAUACCUAGAGAUAGUGGACGUUACUCGCAGAAUAAGCACCGGCUAACUCUGUGCCAGCAGCCGCGGUAAUACAGAGGGUGCGAGCGUUAAUCGGAUUUACUGGGCGUAAAGCGUGCGUAGGCGGCUUAUUAAGUCGGAUGUGAAUCCCCGAGCUUAACUUGGAAUUGCAUUCGAUACUGUGAGCUAGAUAUGAAAGAUGUAAAUCCGGUUAGCGGUAAAUGGUGAAUCUGAGUAACCGAGGGAGGCACCUCUGGCCUAUACUGACGU